GACGAACGCUGGCGGCGUGCUUAACACAUGCAAGUCGAACGGAAAGGCCUGCUUUCCCUUGUGGAUUGCGGGUACUCGAGUGGCGAACGGGUGAGUAACACGUGAGUGAUCUGCCCCCAACUUGGGUAUAAGCCUGGGAAACUGGGUCUAAUUCCCGAUAGGACUGCAGGGUGGUGCCUGUGGUGGAAAACGAUUUUCUAGUGGUUGGGGAUGAGCUCGCGGCCUAUCAGCUUGUUGGUGGGGUAAUGGCCUACCAAGGCGGCGACGGGUAGCCGGCCUGAGAGGGUGGACGGCCACAUUGGGACUGAGAUACGGCCCAGACUCCUACGGGAGGCAGCAGUGGGGAAUUUUGCACAAUGGGCGGAAGCCUGAUGCAGCGACGCCGCGUGGGGGAUGACGGCCUUCGGGUUGUAAACUCCUUUCGACCGCGAGGAAGCCACCUGGUUGGAAGGGUGGUGACGGUAGUGGUAGAAGAAGCACCGGCUAACUACGUG
rnacentral:rRNA from 1 species